GACGAACGCUGGCGGCGUGCUUAACACAUGCAAGUCGAACGAAGAGCGACGGAAGCUUGCUUCUAUCAAUCUUAGUGGCGAACGGGUGAGUAACGCGUAAUCAACCUGCCCUUCAGAGGGGGACAACAGUUGGAAACGACUGCUAAUACCGCAUACGAUCUAACCUCGGCAUCGAGGAUAGAUGAAAGGUGGCCUCUACAUGUAAGCUAUCACUGAAGGAGGGGAUUGCGUCUGAUUAGCUAGUUGGAGGGGUAACGGCCCACCAAGGCGAUGAUCAGUAGCCGGUCUGAGAGGAUGAACGGCCACAUUGGGACUGGGACACGGCCCAGACUCCUACGGGAGGCAGCAGUGGGGAAUCUUCCGCAAUAGACGAAAGUCUGACGGAGCAACGCCGCGUGAGUGAUGACGGCCUUCGGGUUGUAAAGCUCUGUUAAUCGGGACGAAAGGCCUUCUUGCGAAUAGUGAGAAGGAUUGACGGUACCGGAAUAGAAAGCCACGGCUAACUACGUG
rnacentral:rRNA from 1 species